AUUGAACGCUGGCGGCAUGCUUUACACAUGCAAGUCGAACGGCAGCGCGGGCUUCGGCCUGGCGGCGAGUGGCGAACGGGUGAGUAAUGCAUCGGAACGUGCCCAGUAGUGGGGGAUAGCCCGGCGAAAGCCGGAUUAAUACCGCAUACGACCUGAGGGUGAAAGCGGGGGACCGAAAGGCCUCGCGCUAUUGGAGCGGCCGAUGUCGGAUUAGCUAGUUGGUGGGGUAAAGGCUUACCAAGGCGACGAUCCGUAGCUGGUCUGCGAGGCCGACCAGCCACACUGGGACUGAGACACGGCCCAGACUCCUACGGGAGGCAGCAGUGGGGAAUUUUGGACAAUGGGGGCAACCCUGAUCCAGCCAUGCCGCGUGCGGGAAGAAGGCCUUCGGGUUGUAAACCGCUUUUGUUCGGGAAGAAAUCCUCUGGGCUAAUACCCCGGGGGGAUGACGGUACCGGAAGAAUAAGCACCGGCUAACUACGUG
rnacentral:rRNA from 1 species